AUGUUUGUGUCUGUGUGUAUGUUUGUGUCUGUGUGUGUGUGUGUAUGUGUCUGUGUGUGUGUGUGUGUUUGUCUGUCUGUCUGUACGUGUGUGUAUGUUUGUGUGUGUGUGUGUAUGUCUGUCUCUGUGUGUCUGUGUGUGAGUGUGUCUGUUUCUGUGUGUGUGUGUCUGUGUGAGUGUGUCUGUCUCUGUGUGUGUGUGUCUGUCUGUGCGUGUGUGUGUCUGUCUGUCUGUCUCUGUGUGUGUGUGUCUGUCUCUGUGUGUGUGUCUGUGUGUGUAUGUCUGUCUCUGUGUGUGUGUCUGUGUGUGUGUGAGUGUGUCUGUCUGUCUGUCUCUGUGCGUGUGUGUGUGUCUGUGCGUGUGUGUGUGUCUGUUUGUCUGUCUCUGUGUGUGUGUCUGUCUGUCUGUCUCUGUGUGUGUGUCUGUGUGUGCGUGUGUGUGUCUGUCUGUCUGUCUCUGUGCGUGUGUGUGUGUGUCUGUCUCUGUGUGUGUGUGUGUCUGUGCGUGUGUGUGUGUCUGUUUGUCUGUCUCUGUGUGUGUGUCUGUCUGUCUGUCUCUGUGUGUGUGUGUGUGUGUGUGUCUGUCUGUCUCUGUGUGUGUGUCUGUCUGUCUCUGUGUGUGUGCGUGUGUGUGUCUGUGUUUGUCUGUCUGUCUGUACGUGUGUGUAUGUUUGUGUCUGUGUGUGUGUGUGUCUGUCUGUGUGUGUGUGUGUGUGUGUGUGUAUGUUUGUGUCUGUGUGUGUGUGUGUGUAUGUCUGUCUCUGUGUGUGUGUGUGUAUGUGUGUGUGUCUGUCUCUGUGUGUGUGUGUGUCUGUCUGUGCGUGUGUGUGUGUCUGUCUGUCUCUGUGUGUGUGUGUGUCUGUGCGUGUGUAUGUGUCUGUGUGUGUGUGUGUGUGUGAGUGUGUCUGUCUCUGUGUGUGUGUGUGUCUGUGUGUGUGUCUGUCUGUGUGUGUGUGAGUGUGUCUGUCUCUGUGUGUGUGUGUGUGUGUGUGUGUGUGUGUGUCUGUAUGUGUCCAAUCAUCAAACUGUCUUGAGCUGCUGGACCUUUUCUUGGAAGUUGAAGACGGUUUCGGCCAGACGCUGGACGUAUGGGUCGAGCUUGUAG
rnacentral:lncRNA from 1 species